UCCUCAAUGGAAGAAUCACUAGUUCAUAAAGAGCCUGCUUGAUAGCUUCCAAUCCUCCAAUGGAUUCGAAUUCGACAUCAAUGUGAUCAGGGUUUAUCACAUCACAAGCUAUUACAUCCUGUUAAAAUGAAAUAAGUACAGUUAUAUGGAACAUACCACUUAGA